CUGGUGGUAGAUAUCAGUUUGCUUUUAUAUGUCCGGUUGAAUCGAGAUGGUUUGCACUUCAUUUGAAAUCAAUUAAGGUUCUUUGCAUGGAGGGCCGUUUCUGGUUGGUGAGAAUCUA